UAUGAGGAAGUCUAGAAUGCCGCCGCAGCAGCGUGGUCGUGGGACAGGACGUGAGUUAGUGACAAAACAAACAUAAUUCGUCGUACGCACAGUUAAAAAGUGCGGCGAACAGGCACGGAUGUCCACGUUUACGCACGGACGAGGUGCUGCCGUUUUUUCAGGUGCGGGCCAUUCCGUGACCGCUGGAAAACGAGCCCGGACGACAGAGACGUCGGACGCUGCGCGGAUCUAGGGCACCGCUUCGCCGCGCACACGCGCCCCGCGUUGCCCUCCUUCGUGGCGCGCCGUUUCCCUCGCGUCUGCCGUCAUUCUCCUGGUUCGGUGGCUCCACGGCCCGGUUCGGUCCGUGCAGCGGCGGCGGCGGUCUGUGCAGGACAUCAGUGCCGCUCCGGGAACGCUCCCCGUGUGCGCGGAUCGUCCGCCUCCCGGUCUCUCCCGGACGCGUAACGGAGCCCCGAAGCCGCGGGGCGCGCGUCCGUCCGGCUGUUUGCUCGGCGUUUCGAGGGACAAACGCGGUGUUCUGCCACCAGCCGCGAGCCUCGGCUCAUUCACACCCCCGAGUUCCGACUUCACACAGGGAGCGGGAUAAUGUAACGUGAAACCCCAAAGCCUUGCUCAGCCCAGCAGGCGUUGUCCUCAUUAGCUCUGACUUCUACGGAGAUUGUGCCUGUUUUCAAUUCACUCACUACCUUAUUUUUUUUAUUAAAAAACAAGCCACGCUCUCCUAAACCGCUCUAUUACACUGUGUAAAAUGGGGUUGACCUAUAUUUUACGAGUUUAUCUCUGAAUAGAAUAAUGUAUUAGGAAAAAACAUUUGAGUCCAUGUUCAUUCUCUGGGUGUUUUUUCAUUCGUGUGCUAUAUUUUUAUAUUUUUGUUUGGUUGAAGCUGAGCUGGUUUGUUAUGAAUUCAUUUUUAAUAGAAAGCAUCUAGAUGCUGAUGGGAGAAAGAAAGGGGACCUCUGCAGUGAAAUCCCCCUAAUAGCUCACUGGGUGCCGUCCAGCUUCACUGCGACUCACCAGCAUCACUCUCUCAGUGGCAGAAAACAGAGGCCUGGUCCUGUCCAUCACCUCUCAAGGUGCCGGGCACAGAUUUCAGUGUUUCACACAGGAUGCAGGAGACAAUGUCUAGCGAUGCACAAGCAUCUGUCUUCCGUGUAGAUGUGGUGGUUACACUCACGCUGUGUGACAUCGUUGGUCAUCCUCUGGAUGUUAGAGUCAAUACAUGUGUGGGGCAAAAGGAUGCCCAAAAACAACAAUAUCUGCGAGGUGACGUCAAAUGAAACGGCUCGUGUUAUUCUGGCUGGAAACGUCCAGUCCAGAUGUGUUGUAUCUGGAACAAUCCGCUGUUAUUAAAAGUGAAAACCAACAGCUUCCUUUCCAGAAGGUUGUCAAUGGCCAGGAAGUCUAAAGCCCAUCAUAACCCGCGUGCCUUUCCUAUAGAGCCCAUCAUUUCCUGGUCCGGAUGCGGUGUGCAGCCGAUGAAGAUGAAUCACCUCAGGUCUCUGCAGUCGCGUUCAGCAACUCGGGACACGAUCAUUGCACCAAAUGAGUCAGGUGUCCUCACCAACAGGUUCAGAGGCGAUUCUGAAUUACCGGUAGGAAUGUGAACGCCCCGGGGGGGCUCUCUCUGCCGUGUUACCCUAUUUGGCAACGUCACGGUCCAUUGUAAAGGAGGAAUCCUUUAUGAGGAGCCAUUCACGGGACAUCUGGUUUGGAUGUUGCAUGGGGGGCAGUCAUGUGACCUGCAGCGGCCUCUGGGCUUGUGGCUGACAGAUGGGAUCUAUACAUGAGCCUCAAUUUCCAAAUUCAUUUUACAGCGCCAAUAACAUUAAACCACGUCAUCGCGCAGCCUCCCCAACUUUGAUCUAAGUUUAGAGUCCCAUCCGAUUUCCAGAGUUAUGGACACUUUGGAAAACGCAGGAGCGCCAUAGACGAACAUUUUACACUUUGGAAGGAAUUUUAGCUUCAAACACUGUAAAUCCCACCCACAGACUGGACCUGUUAGCUGAAGACAAGCUGAAGCGAUCACUAACAGACAACAACACUAAAAUAACACAUUCUAACUAAAAACACUCCAAUUAAAACAUAUUCCAACUAAAAGAACCUUCAAGCAAAAAUGUCAGUAGAGUAACUUCUGAAAUCCCACAAGCUGUGACAU
rnacentral:lncRNA from 1 species